rnacentral:misc_RNA from 1 species
AAGUCGUAACAAGGUUUCCGUAGGUGAACCUGCGGAAGGAUCAUUAACGAACGAAAGGUUUACAUUUUAUUAUGUGAAUCUUUUGGGAUCAACCAAAACCUGUGUGAAAAAAAAAGUAUAUCGAUCAAUCGAAUACUCUAUUAUAAUAAUUAUAAAACUUUCAACAACGGAUCUCUUGGCUCUU